CAUCAAGAACAAGAAUCUUUGACCGGCGAAGCAAUGCUCUAGCAAGACUUAAAAGCUGUCUUUGUCCAACACUGAAAUUUUCUCCGGCUUCCGAGACCUCCGCAUCAAGACCCAAAGAGUUCCUCCUGAUAACGUCCUUUAGGUGCGCACGUUCUAGAGACUCCCAGAGGUCAGCAUCAUUGUGCUCAUUGAAUGGAUCAAGAUUAAAUCUCACGGUCCCUGAGAACAAAACUGGUGCUUGCGGUAUAAUACCAAGAACCUUCCGUAGAUCUGUAAGUCCAAACUUUGAAACAUCAUAAUCAUCUAUUAAUAUCCUUCCUCUUUCAAGCUCAACAAGUCGGAACAAAGCAUUAAACAUGCUAGAUUUUCCAGCUCCAGUCCUGCCAACUACUCCGACUUUGUCACUCGGAGAAAUUGUGAAGGAUAUACCAUGCAGAACAGGAGGAAGUUCGGGCCUGUAACGUAAGACAACGUUCUCAAAUUGAAUGGAUCCUGCUGAAGGCCAUCCAGGAGGAGGACGACUGCCCUCAAUUAUGGAUGGACCUUCUGAUGGUAACUCUAUAUACGUUCCAACUCGCUCGACAGCAUUUAAGCUGUUCUCAG
rnacentral:misc_RNA from 1 species